rnacentral:rRNA from 1 species
GACGAACGCUGGCGGCGUGCUUAACACAUGCAAGUCGAACGGUGAAGCGCCUUCCUUUUUGGUGGGUGUGGAUGAGUGGCGAACGGGUGAGUAACACGUGAGUAACCUGCCCCCUUCUUCUGGAUAACCGCAUGAAAGUGUGGCUAAUACGGGAUAUUCUGGGUCUGUCGCAUGAUGGGUCUGGGAAAGAUAUUGUUUCGGUGGGGGAUGGGCUCGCGGCCUAUCAGCUUGUUGGUGGGGUGGUGGCCUACCAAGGCGGUGACGGGUAGCCGGCCUGAGAGGGUGGACGGUCACACUGGGACUGAGACACGGCCCAGACUCCUACGGGAGGCAGCAGUGGGGAAUAUUGCACAAUGGGCGCAAGCCUGAUGCAGCGACGCCGCGGGAGGGAUGGAGGCCUUCGGGUUGUGAACCUCUUUCGCCAGUGAAGCAGGCCUGCCUCGUUUGUGGGUGGGUUGACGGUAGCUGGAUAAGAAGCGCCGGCUAACUACGUG